CUUGAGAGCGGCGGACGGGUGAGUAAUGCCUAGGAAUCUGCCUGGUAGUGGGGGAUAACGCUCGGAAACGGACGCUAAUACCGCAUACGUCCUACGGGAGAAAGCAGGGGACCUUCGGGCCUUGCGCUAUCAGAUGAGCCUAGGUCGGAUUAGCUAGUUGGUGAGGUAAUGGCUCACCAAGGCGACGAUCCGUAACUGGUCUGAGAGGAUGAUCAGUCACACUGGAACUGAGACACGGUCCAGACUCCUACGGGAGGCAGCAGUGGGGAAUAUUGGACAAUGGGCGAAAGCCUGAUCCAGCCAUGCCGCGUGUGUGAAGAAGGUCUUCGGAUUGUAAAGCACUUUAAGUUGGGAGGAAGGGUUGUAGAUUAAUACUCUGCAAUUUUGACGUUACCGACAGAAUAAGCACCGGCUAACUCUGUGCCAGCAGCCGCGGUAAUACAGAGGGUGCAAGCGUUAAUCGGAAUUACUGGGCGUAAAGCGCGCGUAGGUGGUUCGUUAAGUUGGAUGUGAAAGCCCCGGGCUCAACCUGGGAACUGCAUUCAAAACUGUCGAGCUA
rnacentral:rRNA from 1 species